rnacentral:lncRNA from 1 species
AAGCUCCGGCGGAACGCAUGAAUAAAACGACGACGAUGAUUCAGCUAAUCUAAUUGAUUCGAUUUGCUCGAAUCAUGAGAGUACUUGGGAUCUAAGAGGAACCAGAUGUACCCGGAUUCCAUUGGAGGUGUGGAGGCAUUUGACGAUGAAGGGUCAUUUGAAAACCGAUCGCCGGAGAUGGUGGCUUCGACGGCGGCCGAUUGUUUGAAUUUCCAACGAAAGGAAG